rnacentral:snoRNA from 1 species
AUUCCCAUUCUAGUACCACUACUUCAUUCUACAGAUUUAGUGGCUAUGCUAAUGGGAUAUAGUAACCUGCCAUUGUCUGAAGGGAAAUUACAUUUCAUGUUUUCCUAUAUGAAAUGGCAGUACAUAAAUAU